rnacentral:rRNA from 1 species
GAUGAACGCUGGCGGCGUGCCUAAUACAUGCAAGUCGAGCGAAUGGAUUAAGAGCUUGCUCUUAUGAAGUUAGCGGCGGACGGGUGAGUAACACGUGGGUAACCUGCCCAUAAGACUGGGAUAACUCCGGGAAACCGGGGCUAAUACCGGAUAACAUUUUGAACCGCAUGGUUCGAAAUUGAAAGGCGGCUUCGGCUGUCACUUAUGGAUGGACCCGCGUCGCAUUAGCUAGUUGGUGAGGUAACGUCUCACCAAGGCAACGAUGCGUAGCCGACCGGAGGGGGUGGUGGGCCACACCGGGAAUGAGACACGGCCCAGACUCCUACGGGAGGCAGCAGUAGGGAAUCUUCCGCAAUGGACGAAAGUCUGACGGAGCAACGCCGCGUGAGUGAUGAAGGCUUUCGGGUCGUAAAACUCUGCUGUUAGGGAAGAACAAGUGCUAGUUGAAUAAGCUGGCACCUUGACGGUACCUAACCAGAAAGCCACGGCUAACUACGUGCCAGCAGCCGCCGUAA